rnacentral:lncRNA from 1 species
GUUUGCACAUGCAGUUUGCCUGGAAUGUCCUUCCCAUCUCACCCCCGGCAUCUGGCUGCAAUUUCUGGUCCUCCUUCAGAUCUCAAGUUAGAAGUCACACCUUGAAAAGACUUAGUAGACACACCCACCCUUUUAGGAGGUUUUCCGAUAAGGCAUCAUACUACCCUACUCAUAUCCCUACAAAAAGACUUGAACGACAUAAGGAAAUAAACUUUAAUUAUAUGUCUUUCUCUUUCCCUUAAGAUUGUGAGUUCCUUGAAAGAAGAAUCUGUGUCUUGUGCACCAUUGUUCUUCCUUACCUGUAACAGAAACCCUGGCACCAGCAUACUGUGUCUGGAGUUAUUCCUUCUGGUGGGUUCGUGGUCUCCCUGACUUCAAGAAUGAAGCCAUGGACUUUCACAGUGAGUGUUACAGCUCUUAAAGGUGGCACAGACGCAAAGAUUGAGCAGCAGCAAGAUACAUUGUGAAGACCAAAAGAACAAAGCUUCCACAGCUGGAAGCGGACCCGAGCAGAUCUCACUUCAACAAACAGUGAAGAAGGAGUGUGGUAGAGGAGAGAAGAAAACAAAAGGAUGACAGAGCUAAGAAGGACAGAAAUGAAAAGAGCAUUCGUUCAGUCUGUUCUCUCAUUAUCGUACCUCGGAACCUUGGAAGAUUCUUUUUUGAGAAUUCUUUUCAUUAUGAUGCUAGGAAAAUGAUAGACUGGAAAAGCCAGAAAUUCUGAAAUUCUAUAAAACAUGAUCUCAUCAAUAAUGUAUACCUUCCCUACAACUUGCAGAAAAUAACAUAUUAAAAUGUCCAAUUUUAAAGAGGAAACAAGGCUGUGUGCUGUAAUAUUUUUCAUCCAAUAUCAAUGCUCUUGCGCAUACAUAAUGUGUUCCAGUGAUUUCUACAGUUUCUCCCCUGACUGGCUCCCUGACUUG